AUUUGAGCCUGGGACCCCAGACGAAAGGAUACGCUUCCUUUUAGAACCCCUGCCAAUCUGAGGACGGGGCCACCCCACAGACGCCGUGGCUCAGCAAGCAGACCAAUGGCCGAGGAGUCUGGCAAGGGGCGCUUGGCAGAUGAGAGUGGAGGUUGUAAAUCACCCUCCAUGCAAUGGUUCAUCAUAAAGGAUAUGGAGCAAAAUUAGAGGAGGCACGAGAAGGAAAGCCGGUGAUGAACAAGGAAAGUGCCUGGUUGAAGCUAGCUUGCAAUCCCAAAGUCAGAAGGUUGCCUGGGAAGCCAUGAAACAAAGCCAAAUCAAGGCAAAGCAGACACAUGGAGAUUUUGAGACUGAGAAGAGGAAAACUGAGGACAUUCAUGUGAGAUGGUUUCAAGUUUCCCUUAGAAGGAGAAGUUAUCUUCAGAAGGUCAGGUUGGUGAGGUGGGAGUUCAAAAACAACAAAGUAUGUAGCUACCAUUGUGAGGAAGACCAUGGAAAAUGGACGAAUCAGAAUGAAAGGCUUUCUGAACAAGAGUAAGUACCCCCACUGAUGUGGCUUGGUGGUAUCACCACCCAAAUCUCAUCUUGAAUUGUAGCUCCCACAAUUCCCACGUGGUGUGGGAGGGAUCUGGUGGGAGGUAAUUGAAUCAUGGCGGGGGGGGGUCUUUCCCAUGCUGUUCUCAUGAUAGUAAAUAAGUUUCACAAGAUCUGAUGGUUUUAUAAAGGGGAGUUUCCCUGCACAAGCUCCCUCCUGCCUGCUGCCAUGUGAGACCUGCGUUUUGCCUUCCACCAUGACUGUGAGGCCUCUUCCCCGGCCAUGUGGAACUGUGAGUCCAUGAAACCUCUUUUUCUUUAUAAAUUACCCAGUGUCAGGUAUAUCUUUAUCAGCAGCGUGAAAACAGACUAAUACACCCGCCUUUGCCACCACCCACAUUAAAACAACUUUAACUUCAACCUAGUCAAAGUAUAUGGGCUUCCCAAUCAGGCAGAUUCACGGUUUCAUUCUACUCCACCAGAUAUUAGCUGUGUGUGGAUGUUAGUCUCUGGGCUUUGUUUCUAAAAUGUAUGUAAUAAUGCACCAGGUUCUAAAAUCCGGUGAGAAUUCUGUGAGAUUAUGCAUGCAAAGUGCUGAGCAUGGGGCCUGGCUCAUAGAAAGUAUCAAAUAAGUGGUAGACAAGUUGUCAUUUUCACUUGUGGUUGAUAAUUUCCACUUUUGCCUUUCUGCAGCCCAGAGACAGAAGCAGAUAAUGCAAGUGUCAUCUACAUCUGGCAAAAGCCAAAGGUUUGGAAGAUGGAAAAAGGAAUCCAGGCAAAAAGGAGCCCAAGAUUGAAGUGAAUGACCAGGUGCACCAGUUCAAAUGCAAUCAGGAGGGACAGGGGUAGAGGGAGAAGCCUAGAGCAGCGCUUCUCAAACUGACUAUUCAAGUCACCUGGAGAUCUUGGUGAAAUGCAGACUCUGGUGCAGUAGGUCCUGGCGGGAACUUGAAAUUCUGCAUUUUGACCAAGGUCCAAGGUGAAUGUCCAGUGCUGUUGUCCUUGGCCUGCAGCAGGAGGAGCAGGGAUCUAAGACUUGGAGAGCAAAUGUCAAGCUCAGAAGAAAGACUGGAAGUUUGGGGACAAAACCCAAAUAUGGCUAAAGAAAGCCUGUAGGAUGAAGUUGGAAGUUCCAGAGCCUUCUCUUCACAUAAUGGGACAUGCAAGGGGGAAACCAAAUCAAAAGUGUAGAAUGCGUCGCUGGAUGUCUUUGACAUGGUGAGGUCUUGUUCCUAACGGAGCUUUUCCUCUUGGUCACAUUACCUCUGAAGGUAUCUAGGGCCCCAUACUCUAUUCCGGGGGUGCUGUGGCCCACAUGGGUCUGCAUGGUCAGACAGUGGCUAAAGCAAAUUCUCUGGCUGCAGAAGAGCCUCAGUCCUUCUGUCUGAUUGGCUGGCAACAUGACCAUGAGUGUGCCCUAGCAGAUGGCCAUGAGGAGGACAACUGGGCACAAACUGGGCAGCCAUGUGGCACUGGGAUGAAUGGCAUCACUCCCAAGACCUGGAGCCUCUUGAUCUCACUUAGCUCCUGUCUCCAUGGUCCCUCUUCUUCCUCUCUCCUUCAGGGGUGGAGUCUUAAUUUAUCUGACAGCAGAGAAAAAAUGUGUUCUGCAGGUAUAUGCACUAUGAUUUCUGCCUUAAAUUUAAGCAAGUGGAUUUUUAAAAACUCGGUAGUCAGGAAUUUGCAUCCCUCUUCCUGCUUUGUUUUCUUCUUUCCCCCAAAGCAGUGGGUGACUCUGUCCAUCUGGGCCAGGGAGGAAGAGCUCCAGCCUAGGGAUCGCUUCUCAAAUUUUAAUGCUCACAUCAAUCCCCUAGGGAUAAUACAAUUAAACAUGGCUCAGUGAGGGAAUGAACUCUGAGAAAUGUGUCAUCAGGUAGUUUUGUCAUUGCACAAAUAUCACAGAGCAGAGUCCAAACUCUUACAUAAACCUAGAUGGCAGAGCCUACUACAUACCUAGGCUGUAUGGUAUGGCCUAUUGCUCCUGGGCUACAAACCUCUAUGGCAUGUGACUGUACUGAAUAUUGUAGGAUAUUGUAACACAAUGGUAAGUAUUUGUGCAUCUAAACAUAUCUGAGCAUAGAAAAGGAACAGUAAAAACACAAUUUAAAAGAUUUUAUAAUGGGACACCCGUAUAGGGCCCUUACCAUGAAUGGAGUUUGCAGGACUGGAAGUUGCUCUGAGUGAGUCAGUGAGUGAAUGUGAAGACCUAGGACAUUAUUGUACGCUACUGUAGACCUUGUACACAUUGGACGCUUAGGCGACAUUAAAUCUACAAAAGAAUAUUUUUCUUUCCCUUGGCUUACUAUAUCUUUUUUAUUACUAUUUUAUAAACUUUUUGACUCUUAUGUAUUAACACUUAGCUUACAACACAAACACAUUGUACAGCUAUACAAAAAUAUUUUCUUUCUUGGCAAGGCAUGGUGGCUCACACCUGUAAUCCCAGCACUUUGAGAGGCAGAGGCAGGAAGAUCAUUUGAGGUCAGGAGUUCAAGACCAGCCUGACCAACAUGGUGAAAUCCCAUGUCCACUAAAAAUAAAAAAAAAAAACUUCUUUUAAUCUUUCUUCAUAUAUUCUUAUUCUAUACAGCUUUUUUCUAUUUUUUAAUUUUUAAAAUGAUUUUUUAAAAACUAAGGCACAGGCCAGGCACAGAGGCUCAUGCCUAUAAUCUCAGCAUUUUGGGAGGCCAAGGUGGGCGGAUUACCUGAGGUCAGGAGUUCAAGACCAGCCUGGCCAAAACGGUGAAAUGCUGUCUCUACUAAAAAUACAAAAAUUAGCUAAGUGUGGUAGUGUGCAGCUGUAAACCCAGCUACUUGGGAGGCUGAGGCACGAGAAUCUCUUGAACCUGGGAAGCGGAGGCUACAGUGAGCUGAGAUUGUGCACUGCACUCCGGCCUGGGCAACAGAGCA
ensembl:lncRNA LINC00877 long intergenic non-protein coding RNA 877